UGCCUUCUCCUUCCGUCACAAACAUCAGCUCCUAACCGUCUUCUCUCUUCCAAGACUCCUCCCUUUUUCUCAAAACCCUCUCUCCAGAUCCACCUUCCUCGGCGAGUAGUAGCACCGUCGAUGAGUUAGAUCCCGCCGCCACCGCCGCCGGAACAACAAUAUCCGUCGACCGUUCCGCUCUCUUCAAUCCUCCCGACCACUCUCAUGAACCCACACCAGACUCGGAGCUCGUCAAGCACCUCAAGAGUGUCAUCAAGUUUCGUGGUCGGCCAAUCUCAGUUUGUGAGUUUGACGAGGUAAAUGUUUCAUGUCUUCUUAGGAGUUGUGAGUUUGUGUGCUUGAGAUUGGUUUUAUUACGCCAAUUUCACUGUGUUUUCAAUUUUAUUGAUUGGUGUGUAUGUAUUUGUCCAUAUUAUGCUUUCCUUAACUAGUGCAAUCCAAGGGCUCGAGUUUAGUGGCCUUGAUUUGCCGGAUUCAGUUGGAGAGUUUGUUGUUAGUGGGGUUCUCGUUCUUCAGUGCGAGAGAGUAUUGCAGUUGAUUUCACGUUUCAUGCAGGCAAAAAACAUCCUGGUGAAUCUGCAGGAAAGCUUAAUAUGGACAUCCUGGUGAAUCUGCAGGAUCGGCUAAAGAUGGUUUUGGAUUCUUGGAGAAGGAAUAUAGCAGCAGACAAGAAAACAGCAGCAAGUAGCAUAAUAAUAUAUGUAGACUUUGGUCUGAGAAUUGGAGGGCCAUUGUAGCUGAAGCUCAAGGUCAAAGCAUUCCUUAUUCUUCUUUACGUCAUAUAAUAGCUGGCUUGUUUGUCUGUAGUAAAAACAGAGUUUUGUGAUUAUUCUGGUGAUGCUCUGCCUUAAACCUCUUUGAAAGUGAUCAAAAUUGUACUCACUUCAUGUUUUGUUGUUCAAUGCUUUUUCCUAUUUUGUACACUAAGCUCUAGCUCACCUUUGUUAUUUCUUUGAAACAGAAAUUCAGGUUUUGUUACGUAUGAGAUUAGUUCUAGGUUGUGG